rnacentral:rRNA from 1 species
GAUGAACGCUGGCGGCGUGCCUAAUACAUGCAAGUCGAGCGAACAGACGAGGAGCUUGCUCCUCUGACGUUAGCGGCGGACGGGUGAGUAACACGUGGAUAACCUACCUAUAAGACUGGGAUAACUUCGGGAAACCGGAGCUAAUACCGGAUAAUAUAUUGAACCGCAUGGUUCAAUAGUGAAAGACGGUUUUGCUGUCACUUAUAGAUGGAUCCGCGCCGCAUUAGCUAGUUGGUAAGGUAACGGCUUACCAAGGCAACGAUGCGUAGCCGACCUGAGAGGGGGAUCGGCCACACUGGAACGGAGACACGGUCCAGACUCCUACGGGAGGCAGCAGUAGGGAAUCUUCCGCAAUGGGCGAAAGCAUGACGGAGCAACGCCGCGUGAGUGAUGAAGGUCUUCGGAUCGUAAAACUCUGUUAUUAGGGAAGAAAAAAUGUGUAAGUAACUAUGCACGUCUUGACGGUACCUAAUCAGAAAGCCACGGCUAACUACGUG